rnacentral:rRNA from 1 species
CAAAUCAGGUAGGACUACCCGCUGAACUUAAGCAUAUCAAUAAGCGGAGGAAAAAGAACUAACAAGGAUUCCCCUAGUAACGGCGAGUGAAGCGGGAAGAGCUCAAAUUUAAAAUCUGGCGGCCUAAGGUCGUCCGAGUUGUAGUCUAGAGAAGUGUUUUCCGUGCUGGACCGUGUACAAGUCCCUUGGAACAGGGCGUCAUAGAGGGUGAGAAUCCCGUCUUUGACACGGACUACCAGUGCUCUGUGAUGCACUCUCGAAGAGUCGAGUUGUUUGGGAAUGCAGCUCAAAUCGGGUGGUAAAUUCCAUCUAAAGCUAAAUAUUGGCGAAAGACCGAUAGCGAACAAGUACCGUGAGGGAAAGAUGAAAAGCACUUUGGAAAGAGAGUUAAACAGUACGUGAAAUUGUUGAAAGGGAAACGCUUGAAGUCAGUCGCGUCUUGCGGGAUUCAGCCUUGCUUUGCCUGGUGUACUUCCUGUUUGACGGGCCAGCAUCAAUUUUGACCGUUGGAAAAAGGCUUUGGGAAUGUGGCACCUCCGGGUGUGUUAUAGCCCUUUGUCAUAUACAACGGUUGGGAUUGAGGACUGCAGCACGCCUUUAUGGCCGGGGUUCGCCCACGUAACGUGCUUAGGAUGCUGGCGUAAUGGCUUUAAGCGACCCGUCUUGAAACACGGACCAAGG